rnacentral:rRNA from 1 species
CCUACGGGAGGCAGCAGUAGGGAAUAUUGGGCAAUGGAGGCAACUCUGACCCAGCCAUGCCGCGUGCAGGAAGAAGGCGUUAUGCGUUGUAAACUGCUUUUAUAUAGGAAGAAAUAGUCCUUGCGAGGAAAGUUGACGGUACUAUAUGAAUAAGCACCGGCUAACUCCGUGCCAGCAGCCGCGGUAAUACGGAGGGUGCAAGCGUUGUCCGGAUUUAUUGGGUUUAAAGGGUGCGUAGGCGGUUUAUUAAGUCAGUGGUGAAAGACGGUCGCUCAACGAUUGCAGUGCCAUUGAUACUGGUAGACUUGAGUGGGAUUGAGGUAGCUGGAAUGGAUAGUGUAGCGGUGAAAUGCAUAGAUAUUAUCCAGAACACCAAUUGCGUAGGCAAGUUACUAAGUCUCAACUGACGCUGAGGCACGAAAGUGUGGGUAUCAAACAGGAUUAGAUACCCUGGUAGUCCACACUGUAAACGAUGAUAACUAACUGUUGGCUUUCGGGUCAGUGGUACAGAGAAAUCGUUAAGUUAUCCACCUGGGGAGUACGCCGGCAACGGUGAAACUCAAAGGAUUGACCGGNUGAGAGNGCGAGACGACGACGAGGGAGGAGG